AAGAGCAGCUCCGUCUUGCCGAGGUUCAGCUUGAGCUGGUGAUCCGUCAUCCACACUGAUAUGUCUGACAGACAUGCAGAGAUGCGAUUCGCGAUUUGCCACCUGGUUAUCAGAAGGGGGAAAGGAGAAGAUUAAUUGUGUGUCGUCUGCAUAGCAAUGAUAGGAGAGACCAUGUGAGGAUAUGACAGAGCCAAGUGACUUGGUGUAUAGCGAGAAUAGGAGAGGGCCUAGAACAGAGCCCUGGGGGACACCAGUGGUGAGAGCGCAUGGUGCGGAGACAGAUUCUCGCCACGCCACCUGGUAGGAGCGACCUGUCAGGUAGGACGCAAUCCAAGCGUGGGCCGCGCCGGAGAUGCCCAACUCGGAGAGGGUGGUGCAUGGCAAAGAGGAACUUGCAACUCAUCUGAUCACUCUUCAUAACAUUCUGGAGUAUAUGCAAAUUGCCAUCAAACAAACUGAGGCAGCAGACUUUGUGAAAAUUAAUAUUCAUGUCAUUCUCAAAACUUUUGACCACGACUGUACACCCAGAUUGGGGUAUAUAGUAUAGUACCAUUGGUGGAAAUAUGUAUUUGUCUUAUGCAGCUGUAUGACCCAAUUGGUGAAUAAACGUGUUUUAAGCUUUAGUAAUCGUCCGUGAGUUUUACAAGGUUAAUUUAGAACCUAACACUGACCUGUCCGUCCACACGCUCGAUGUGCUGUAGUCUCCACAACUGGAUCACACUGGCACCGGAUGUCCCUCCACCGGAUGGUCUGAGGGAGACACUCUUGUUGGACUGGAAAACAAAGAGACAUUUGGCUCGAUCUGCUGUAGUCUACAACUGGACGCUUGCACUCAGAUCACACUGGCACAGGAUGCCAUCACAUUGAAACAGGAUAUCCAUGCACCGGAAGGUCUGAGGGAUACAGUCCUGUUGGACUGGAAAAGAAAGAGACAUUUGGUCAGUGUCUGGAUCUUCCUCUUCUGCCAUGGUGGACCUUUCUGGUAAAUACAGGACCAUUUCUCUUUCCACCAGAAAAUGGCAGCUGCAGACCCGAGUGUCCAGUCCGCCCAUCUAAAAGACAAAAAAAGUAACUUUUACUAAAAUGGUAACAUCUAAUGUUCCCUUUAAGCUCCCCAUGGACUGGUGCACAUAAUAAAGCCCGCUCAGAGAAACACAAGUUUGAACCUCACUCAACAUUCAGGAGUUUUCCCUGUUAGUUAACACCACCAAUGUUUUUCUUUACUGUGAGAAUUGUGAUCGAAUCAAUGUAAUAUUAGCCACGUUUAGUGCAACAUACCGAAACAAAAACAAACUAUGCAAGACGAAGUAUGCAAAACGAACUAUGCAAGCGAUUUUGUUGUAGGCAGAAAGCAUCAGAGUAGGAUUCUAUUGCAUUGACAGGCACGGCUCAGGCCCAUACUCUAUACAGACCCGCGCGCCAUAAGCAAUCAGAGCUGCAGUAGGCCUAUAAGCAAAUAGACUAAUAGACCAUUGCAAAAUAAACCUGUGCCAUUCACUUUGAACUGGACUGUGUUUACAGAAUGAGCGGUCAUGAGUAGAUGCGCUUGUUUUGAGAUCAAAGCGAGCCACUUGUGCACAUUUGUGCUAGUUAGUGAGUUAUUAGCCCAGUUAAAGACAAUUUGUAGUCCACAACAGCCUACUUGACCACUGUUAAUACUGUAACUUAAAACGCGCACAACCUCUGUGUUCACAGUAAACGUGCUGGAAGUUGCACAAAAUAUUCACAACAUUUAAAUUUGUGCUUAGCAGGCCUGAAAUUUGCUCAUUGCUGGAAAAAAAUUGAGGGAACAUUGGUAACAUCUAUAUUAAAAUACCAUAACCCACAUACUUGACUAUAGUAAUGCUAAAAUAGACUAGGCUUUGGUCUAUCUGCACAUCUAAAAUCAUACUAUAUGGAUGGGACAUUUCUGCCGGGAUGGGGGAAUUAUCUGGAAUGCUCAACUAGAUGAUCAGGACAGUCUAGGGUAAUAUUUGCCCGAAGAGGUGAAGUAUUGCAAUAAGCUAUACGACUGUACUUCUGAUUUGAAUUCUCAAGAGGAAAGUUAAAGCCCUCGGCCUGAAGAAACUGUGGAGGAGCAACAGUUAUAGGGGGAUUGUCUGAAAGGGACUGACAUGCAGGGAUGGAACGGGCUAGGCGUCCCGCUAGCAGGGCAACUUCCGGUGAAACUGGAGGGCGCGUAAUUCAAAUAAAUAAUCAUACAAAUUAUGGAUAUUAAACAUUCAGGUACAUAUAAGUGUCUUAUAUUGGUUGAAAUCUUAAAUUCUUGUUAAUCUAACUGCGCUGUCUGAUUUACAGUAGCUAUUACAGCGAAAACAUGCCAUGCGAUUGUUUGAGGACAGCGCCACAUCAAAAUAUUUUUCCACCGGCACAGGUUUCAUAAAUUCACAAAUAGCGAUUAAAUAUUCACUUACUUUUUGAAAAUCUUCCUCUGAUUUGUCAUCCAAAGUGUCCCAGCUAUAACAUGUAGUGUCGUUUUGUUAGAUAAAAUCCCUCUUUAUAUCCCAAAAAGUCAGUUUAGUUGGCGCCAUCGAUUUGAGUAACCCACUCGUUCAACAUGUAGAGAAAGGAAUCCGAAAAUCUAAACUUUGUUUCAACAAGUCAAAAUACGUUUCUAUUUACUCCUCAGAUACCCUAAAAUGUAAUAUUUCUUACAGAAGGAAGUAUGUUCAAUAGCAAUCCGAUUUUAGCAGGUGCGUCCUGUCUUCGAGGCGCCCGCAAACACGAAUUUCCAAGACUGUGUCCUACUACUAAAACUGUUAUUUCUUAUUCAUUUUUGAAGUUACACGCCUGAAACCUUGAACAUAGACUGCUGACACCCUGUGGAAGCCAUAGGAAUUGCAUCCAGGAAGCUAAUCUUAUAAGAGGAUGGUCUCUCAAAAAAUUAUUUCCAGAAGGUUUUCUUAGAAUUUUCUCCUACCAUAUCUAUUGUGUUAUAUUCGCCUGCGUUAUUUUAACAUUUCUACAAACUUCAAAGUGUUUUCUUUCCAAUGGUACCAAUUAUAUGCAUAUCCUGGCUUCAGGGCCUGAGCAACAGGCAGUUUACUCUGGGCGCGUCAUUCAGGCGGAAAUUGAGAAAAAAGGUGCCUAGCCCUAAGAAGAUAAGGAUUUAGCCAGCAGACCACGAUUUCUACUAGCCUGGGUAAGAUUCAGGUCCUAAAUCAAGUCAAAUCAAAUUGUAUUUGUCACGUGCACUGAAUACAACAGGUGUAGACCUCACAGUGAAAUGCUUACUUACAAGCACUUAACCAACAAUGUAGAUUUAAGGAAAAUAAGUGUAAAGUAAAAAAUAGAUAAUGCAAAAAAUUAGGUAACAAACAAUUAGAGAGGGGGUACCAGUACAGAGUCAAUGUGCGGGGGCACCGGUUAGUUGAGGUAAUUGAUGAUAUGUACAUGUUGGUAGGGUUAACCUCUCUAGGAUAGGUGGCACCAAAUCGUCCCACCUACGUAACAGCCAGUGUAAUCCCGUGGCGCGUUAUUCAAAAACCUCAAAAAUGCAAAAACUUCAAUUUUUCAAACAUAUGACUAUUUUACACCAUUUUAAAGACAAGACUCUCGUUAAUCUAACCACACUGUCCGAUUUCAAAAAGGCUUUACAAUGAAAGCAAAACAUUAGAUUAUGUCAGCAGAGUACCCAGCCAGAAAUAAUCAGACACCCAUUUUUCAAGCUAGCAUAUAAUGUCACAUAAACCCAAACCACAGCUAAAUGCAGCACUAACCUUUGAUCUUCAUCAGAUGACUAGGACAUUAUGUUAUACAAUACAUGCAUGUUUUGUUCAAUCAAGUUCAUAUUUAUAUCAAAAAACAGCUUUUUACAUUAGCAUGUGACUAGCAUGUGACUAGCAUUCCCACCGAACACUGCCGGUGAAUUUACUAAAUUACUCACGAUAAACGUUCACAAAAAGCAUAACAAUUAUUUUAAGAAUUAUAGAUACAGAACUCCUCUAUGCACUCGAUAUGUCCGAUUUUAAAAUAGCUUUUCGGUGAAAGCACAUUUUGCAAUAUUCUCAGUAGAUAGCCCGGCGUCACAGGGCUAGCUAUUUAGACACCCAGCAAGUUUAGCACUCAGAAAAGUCACAUUUACUAUAAGAAAAAUUGUAUUACCUUUGCUGUCUUCGUCAGAAUUCAGAAUUCAGACUUCUACUUCAAUAACAAAUGUUGGUUUGGUUCAAAAUAAUCCAUAGUUAUAUCCAAACAGCGGCGUUUUGUUCGUGCGUUCAAGACACUAUCCGAAAGGGUAAAUAAGGGUGACGAGCAUGGCGCAAUUCGUGACAAAAAAAAUCUAAAUAUUCCAUUACCGUACUUCGAAGCAUGUCAACCGCUGUUUAAAAUCAAUUUUUAUGCCAUUUUUCUCGUAAAAAAACAAUAAUAUUCCGACCGGGAAUCUGCAUUUAGGUAAACAGAUGAAAGAAAAUAAAGCAUUCGGUCGACUCGGGCACGCGCCUAAGCCCACAGUACUCUGAGCGGCCACUUGCCAAACGCGAUAAUGUGUUUCAGCCAGAGCCUGCCUCGAUAUCCUUCAGCUUUUUCCCGGGCUCUGAGAGCCUAUGGGAGCCGUAGGAAGUGUCACGUUAUUGCAAAGAUCCUAAGUCUUCAAUAAAAAGAGCCCAGAUGAAACACAACUUGUCAGACAUGCCACUUCCUGCAUGGAAUCUUCUCAGGUUUUGGCCUGCCAUAUGAGUUCUGUUAUACUCACAGACACCAUUCAAACAGUUUUAGAAACUUUAGGGUGUUUUCUAUCCAAAGCCAAUAAUUAUAUGCAUAUUCUAGUUACUGGGCAGGAGUAGUAACCAGAUUAAAUUGGGUACGUUUUUUUAUCCAGCCGUGUCAAUACUGCCCCCUAGCCCUAACAGGUUAUUUUAAAAAUUGAAGUGAUAGCAUAUCUAAGGUAUUUGAAUAACGCGCCACAGGAUUCAACUGGCUGUUUUUGGUAAUAAGAGACAGUGGCAGAAACAUUAUGUACAAAAUAAGUUGCAAAUUUUGCGAAAAAACACAAUAGCGCAAUUGGUUAGGGGACCGUAAAACAGCAGGAUAUUAUUUCACUGUAAUAGCUACUGUAAAUUGGACAGUGCAGUUAGAUUAACAAGAAUUUAAGCUUUCUGCCAAUAUCAGACAUGUCUAUGUCCUGGGAACUGUUCUUGUUACUUACAACCUCAUGCUAAUCGCAUUAGCCUACGUUAGCUCAACCGUCCCAUGGUUGAGAGGUUAAUGCGUUUGAGCCAAUCAGUUGCGGGGGUAUACAGAAGAUGGUCUUUUACCAAAUAGGACUAUGUCCAUAUUAUGGCAUAAACAGCUCAAAUAAGCAAAAAUAAAUGACAGUCCAUCAUUACUUUAAGACAUGAAGGUUAGUCAAUAUGGAAAAUGUCAAUAACUUGGAUAGUUUCUUCAAAUGCAGUCGCAAAAACCAUCAAGCACUGUGAUGAAACUGGCUGUCAUGAGGACUGCCACAGGAAUGGAAGUCCCAGAGUUACCUCUGUUGCAGAGGAUAAAUUAAUUCGAGUUACCAGCCUCAGAAAUUGCAGCCCAAAUAAGUGCUUCAGAGUUCAAGUAACAGACACAUCUCAACAUCAACUGUUCAGAGGAGCCUGUGUGAAUCAGGCCUUCAUAGUUGAAUGCUGCAAAGAAACCACUUCUAAAGGACACCAAUAAGAAGAAGAGACUUGCUUGGGCCAAGAAACACGAGCAAUGGACAUAAGACCGGUGGACAUUUUUUCUUUGGUCUGGAGUCGAAAUUGGCCCCGAGAGUAAUGUUGGGGUCCAGAAUGUCGACCACUGGAACCCAACAGUGCUCCUCUUGGCCAUAACCCUCCCAGUCCACCAGGUGCUGGAGCUGACCCCCACGACCCAGCUCCUGGUUGGUCCUCUCCACCUACCCGUUGGACUUGGCCAGUACCCUGUGUAAGGGAAAGCAGGUCUUCCAGCAUCCUGGUACCAAGGCAGUGAUUUUAUGACGUUGGAGCCACGGGACACCCAGGAUGAUUUUGUGAAUGGGUGCAGUGAUGAUGAGGAAGGGAAGGCAUUCUUGGUGCAAGGGUCCCACAGUGAGGGUGAGUGGUGCUGUGAUGUGCGUGAUAGUGUCGGAUCCCAAUGGUCGAUUAUCCAGGGCUUGGACCAGAAAAGGAGAGGAGAGCAGGUCUGAGGUGAUGUUCAGGGAGGAGACGAGGGUCUGAUCGAUGAAAUUCCAUUUCCACAACAGCUGUAGAGACAACACCAGCCAGUAAAAUGGAAACCAGGAAGGAUUGGCAGAAAACGAUGAAGAAGGAAUACUUACGCCUACCCUGGGAGACGGAUGAUCAAGGGGCAUUCCAUCCAGCGGACGGAAUGAAGCGGCGCUCCGUACACUACUCCGAAGGGGGCUGCGCGAGGAGGUCCAAAUGGAACUGACAUGUCAGGACGACGAUCUCUCCUUGGACGCACUCAUCGUGAUGGCCAUCCGGUUGGAUAAUCUACUUCAGGAGCGUCGGUAUCCACAUCACUUCUCUCCCUCCCUCAGUGAACAAUCUGUAGCAGAGCCUGGACUUAUGGAGGCUUCAGCAGUGUCCAAUACAUCCCAACUCAGGAUCCACGAGAGCAGUGGGACGGUCACGUGAUCUUCCAUCUCCAGGGGCAGGUGUGAGUAUCCCAUCCUUAUCAGUUUCUGCUAAAAUCUUUUUAGUGUCGAUCACACUAGCUGGCUGUUCUUCAUACGCCCAGAAUUCAUUACGUCACUCCUCCACCGGGCUUACUCUCUUACAGUGUGUCCUGGGUUAUCAGCCGGCCCUGGCUCCGUGGACUCUGAGCCAGACCGAGGCCCCUGGGGUGUACGAAUGGUUCCGGCACUCAGAAGAGGUUUGGAGUGAUGCUCAUGUGAGGCUCCAGCGUGCCGUCCAUCGCCAGAUGGAGCUGUCCAGAGGUUUGACAUCGCUGGUUUUUACUAACCAUCGGUCCUGGCAUUCAUCAUUACGCGCACCUGGCAUUCAUCAUUUCACUGAUUACUUCCCCAAUAUCUGUCACUCCCGUAGUUCUAUUCCCCAUGCAGUAUUGACUAUGUGUUCCAUAUUUGUACGCUACUCGUGUUUCUUGUAUUGUUCCAUUUAUUAUUAAACUCACCCCUGCACUUGCUUACCAACUCCCAGCAUCUACGUUACAGCACCACUAUGGAAGUUACUCGAAUCUGGCUUAUUGUGAGGUCAAUAACUCUGGUAAAUACAUCAUGGCAAGAAACAUAUUGUUUUUAAUCAAAUCAAUUGUAGUACUAGCAAGCUAUCAAAUUUCUCAUCUUCGCACUCUCCUUCUUAAAUUGAACAGAACAUAGGCUAUAGGCUAGUCCAUGUUCUGGACUAGGCCUAAUCAAAACCUAUUUUUGGAAGAAAACUUUGACUGCC
rnacentral:lncRNA from 1 species